CAUGAAUUGUCUGGAAACCGAAGACUUGCAUAACAUGGUGGAAGGGCAGGGCUGGGUGGGGAGAGCAGGACAAGUUUUCUCAUUGGAAAUGGGGUCCAUGCUCUGGCAGUCAGUGACAUCUUAGUUUGAGUGGUUUCCAAAGACAGACCUAUUCCAGAGCUUGGAGUGAGCAUGUCCUACAAGGAUAGGCAGAGGAAGAGAUGGGCCCAGGCUAUAUCCUGCUAAAGGAAGGGUCUCAGUAUGGAAAAACCAUUGAGUUUUCAGAUUUCCAGUACUAAACUAGCACUUUUAGGAUCUUAGCCUUUAGACCAUAAGGACUUUGGGAGCCUUAAACAACUCUGGCCUCUUCCCUCAUCACCACUUCUACUUGCUAUAGGAGAUUCUUGCUUUCUGAUGCAGAGGCUUUUACUCUUGGCUGACCACGUGUGUAGAAAAAUGUCUACACACAGUAUGUGCUGCCAUUCUGUACUAUGCAGUGAUACAUGAAGGCAUGGGCUCGGGUUAAUAGGCCUAGGCACCAGCUUUAGCUCGGCUGAAGCUGGCGGCCCCUGGCAAAUUACUUUGAUUGAAUCACCUGUGAUGUUGAAGGCUGCCUACUUGGUGAAAUUUAAGUGAGCUGUAUGUAAAAUGGCACAGGGUAGGUGUUCAGUAAAUGACUCCCUUUCCCACUACUGAGGCUAGAGGGACCUGGCAAUCACUACAGGAGGGUGAGAAAGCUAGUAGGGAAUUUAAGAAAAUAGAACAUUCCCUAACUAUUGUUUGAUUCCCCUCAGAUUCCAUUGUUUUCUUUCCUCCAAUUUAGCCACGAUUGGACAUUGACUUCUAUUUCCUUCAUACUCACAGCUAACUCUGUCAUAACCUAGAGCCUCUACAGAGGAAGCCAGAAGAGACUGAAAGUGAAUAUUAUUUACUGGUCCAUUAGGACCAGCUAGUUUGAGAUAAGGAACAUUUUAUUUAAAAGGUUUGAAUUAGCAUAGGCUGUAAUCUAUGUCUCACAGCUACAAAGACUAGACAGGCCAGGAAACAACCCACAUUCUAGGCCCAGCUCUUCCAUGAACUUGCAGAUGACCUACAAAAAUCAUUUUAUAUGUGCUUGCCGUUCUCUGUGUUAAUCAGAUUAUGCUUACUGAACGAGCGAGGUUUUCCUCCAAUAAAAAUGCAACGUGAAGGCACUUUUCAAAAAUAAAAG
rnacentral:lncRNA from 10 species